rnacentral:ncRNA from 24 species
GCGGACACUUUGCAAGGGCUGCACCGCUCAACAAAGCAACCCAUGCCCACCACCCC